GCCUGCCCAGUGAUUAUUUCAACGGCCGCGGUACCCUAACCGUGCAAAGGUAGCAAAUCACUUGUUCUUUAAAUAAGGACUAGUAUGAACGGCACCACGAAGACCAUGCUGUCUCCUUUUUCUAAUCAGUGAAACUGAUCUCCCCGUGAAGAAGCGGGGAUUAUUCUAUAAGACGAGAAGACCCUAUGAAGCUUAAAAUUUACAUCAACUGCCACCCACACACCACCUCAACCUGACAGACCUGAUUAUUAAUUUUUGGUUGGGGUGACCGCGGAGCAAAAUUAAACCUCCACAAUGAAAGGACUAAACCUCCUAAUUCAAGAAUUACACCUCUAAAAAUCAAUAUAUUGACAUAAAUUGAUCCAAACCUUUGAUCAAUGAACCAAGUUACUCUAGGGAUAACAGCGCAAUCCAUUUCAAGAGCCCCUAUCGACAAAUGGGUUUACGACCUCGAUGUUGGAUCAGGGUGUCCUAGUGGUGCAACCGCUACUAAAGGUUCGUUUGUUCAACGAUUAAAACCCUACGUGAUCUGAGUUCAGACCGGA
rnacentral:rRNA from 1 species